GAUUUCACAGAUAUUUUUACUUUUGAUAAUUUUUUAAAAUAUUUGUGAGGGGUGAUACGCUUUCGUUCUUUAGGUUAACUAAUUUGUUUUUAUUUAAGGGGGAAAUCUUGUUAAUAGAUUCUUUUGUAAAAUUUGUACAUGUGGAUUUUAAUAGUAAGUGGUUGUGUAAUAACUUUAGUUUUAUUAGGGGAAUUAAUACUAUAUUUUUUUUAUUAUAAUAAAUUAAUUAGUGGAUUAGUAGUUUUGUUUUUAUUUUGUUUUUAUUUUGUUUUUAUUUAAAGUUAAUAAUUAUUUUUAUUUACUGAUUUUUUCUUAGACUGGUUAAUAAAAUCUUAGCUACAAAUUUUGUAGUUGUUUCUGCUCUAUGCAUUCUUGUAAAUGGCUGUUUUGGACACUAAGGUAGCAAAAUCAUUAGUUAUUUAAUUGGUAACUUGUAUGAAUGAAUUUUCUGAGAAGAUAUUAAUUUUUUUCUUGAAUUUAUAAAUUUGUUGAGAAUAACAAUUUUUCCCAUAAGACUAAAAGACCCUAAAAUUUUUAUAACUUACCAUUAUGUGGGUUAUUUGGUUGGGGCAAUAGUAAAAAGUAAAUAUUUAGUAAUUUAUUUUUCUUUGAACUUUUUUUAUUGAUAGAAGGUAAAAUACUUUAGGGAUAACAGCUUAAUUAUUUUUAAGAGUUCUUAUUGUUAAAAUAGUUUUAGACCUCGAUGUUGGAUUGGAAGAACUUUUUAAGGCAG
rnacentral:rRNA from 1 species